rnacentral:ribozyme from 1 species
AGAAUUCCUUGCUCUGCAAUGGGAUGGGAUCCGAAGCCCCUCGAGGGAUAAUACAGGCUCUCCCAUCCAACUCCUAUUCCGACACGUCCUCGUCGUGCAGAGUGGUAUCAUAUGCCUCCAUAUAUCCUAGUUUGGGUACACGGGCUAGAUCCAACCCCUUGAGCGGAUGGUGGCACAUGGCUGUUUUUUUUUUG